AGCAAAGCCCAAAGUGCAGCCACUUGCCUGGGGAGCAACCCCCGGACAGCAAGGACUGAGUGCCAUGUCCUGCCCCUGCCCCCAAGGACAGCAGUGUGGCAGGGUGAGGACAUGCACACAGAGAAAAGGGCACCACCUCCUGCCACCUCCCUACACCCCAUCAGUGCCAACUGGGGGGGGUGUCAGCUAUUCCUAUCCCCCACCCCUACUGGAGCAGAGCCCUGACUCCCCUCCCCUGCAGCUCAUGCUUGGAUUUCCUCACCCCUCACUGUGAGUCUGUGUCUGUCCAUGAGUCUGUCCCAGUAUCUGUCAAUAAAUGGAGCCUAGAGCUCCCUGCCAGGC